rnacentral:rRNA from 1 species
UCAAGGGCCGGCUUUCCCUAAAAUGCAAGUCGAGCGGACAGAUGGGAGCUUGCUCCCUGAUGUUAGCGGCGGACGGGUGAGUAACACGUGGGUAACCUGCCUGUAAGACUGGGAUAACUCCGGGAAACCGGGGCUAAUACCGGAUGGUUGUUUGAACCGCAUGGUUCAGACAUAAAAGGUGGCUUCGGCUACCACUUACAUAUGGACCCGCGGCGCAUUAGCUAGUUGGUGAGGUAACGGCUCACCAACGCGACGAUGCUUAUCCGACCUGAUAGGGUGAU